GAUGAAGAACGUAGCGAAAUGCGAUAAGUAAUGUGAAUUGCAGGAUUCAGUGAAUCAUCGAAUCUUUGAACGCACAUUGCGCCCGCCAGUAUUCUGGCGGGCAUGCCUGUCUGAGCGUCAUUUCAACCCUCAUGCCCCUAGGGCGUGGUGUUGGGGAUCGGCCAAAGCCCGCGAGGGACGGCCGGCCCCUAAAUCUAGUGGCGGACCCGUCGUGGCCUCCUCUGCGAAGUAGUGAUAUUCCGCAUCGGAGAGCGAUGAGCCCCUGCCGUUAAACCCCCAACUUUCCAAGGUUGACCUCAGAUCAGGUAGGAAUACCCGCUGAACUUAAGCAUAUCAAUAAGCGGAGGA
rnacentral:misc_RNA from 1 species